rnacentral:rRNA from 1 species
AUGGAAGAAACAUCUAAAGCUGGUGGUACUGGGAAGUAUGCGUUUGCAUACAAUAAUGCUAUCUAUUCUGAUAAGAUCCUACGUCUGAAAGUUGAUCCCUCCCUGCCUGCUCUGUCAGAUUCCAGAAAAAAAGCACGUUUAGAAAAUGGUGCCUCGACCUCCUCUCAGCUGACAUUGUCUGUCAAGGAUGGUGUGAAAGAUAUCCGUGUUAGCUCCAUUAUCCUAGCUGCCGAAAGUCACUACUUUAUCAAGCUUUUUACAAAUGGAAUGAAAGAGACAGGAAAUGAAGUUGUUCUUGUGAACUUACAUUCAGAAGGUUAUUCAAUUUACUAA